rnacentral:misc_RNA from 1 species
UUAACUAUUAUAUAGUACUCAGACGACAUUAACAUAAAGAGUUGGGGUCCUCUGGCGGGCACGAACCAGCCGAAGCCGGUGCCGGGGCGGCCCGCCAAAGCAACAAUGUAUAAGUACGCACGGGUGGGAGGUCUACCCUUGCGGGCAUGAACUCUGUAAUGAUCCUUCCGCAGGUUCACCUACGGAAA